rnacentral:rRNA from 1 species
AACCUCCGCAAUGUGAGAAAUCGCGACGGGGGGAUCCCAAGUGCCAUUCCUAACGGGAUGGCUUUUCAUUAGUGUAAAGAGCUUUUGGAAUAAGAGCUGGGCAAGACCGGUGCCAGCCGCCGCGGUAACACCGGCAGCUCUAGUGGUAGCUGUUUUUAUUGGGCCUAAAGCGUUCGUAGCCGGUUUGAUAAGUCACUGGUGAAAUCCUGUAGCUUAACUGUGGGAAUUGCUGGUGAUACUGUUGAACUUGAGGUCGGGAGAGGUUAGCGGUACUCCCAGGGUAGAGGUGAAAUUCUGUAAUCCUGGGAGGACCACCUGUGGCGAAGGCGGCUAACUGGAACGAACCUGACGGUGAGGGACGAAAGCUAGGGGCGCGAACCGGAUUAGAUACCCGGGUAGUCCUAGCCGUAAACGAUGCGGACUUGGUGUUGGGAUGGCUUUGAGCCGCUCCGGUGCCGAAGGGAAGCUGUUAAGUCCGCCGCCUGGGAAGUACGGUCGCAAGACUGAAACUUAAAGGAAUU